GGCUGGUCCAAAGAUAGUGAGUUAUCUCAAUGGAUUGUGCACCAUCAGUUACAGGUAGAACUCCUUGUUCCACUUUUUCCCCCUUCUCACUACUGCAUUUGACUAGUUUUUU
ensembl:misc_RNA Y_RNA Y RNA